rnacentral:snRNA from 1 species
GGAUGUGAGGGCGAUCUGGCUGCUACAGCUGUCACCCCAUUGAUCCCCAGUGAUCCCCAUUGAUCACCAGGGUUGAUUCUGCUGAUCUGGCUGGCUAGGCGGGUGUCCCCUUCCUCCCUCUCUGGUCCAUGUGCAUCCCUCCCAAAGCUGAGCAUUUGGUCAAAGAGGAAGGACUUCCCCUAAUAGAGAUGGACUGAUCUUCGGUCGAGAGUAGCUGUGCUUCCCAGCUAGAACCUCCAAACUAGCUCUCAAUCCCAGGACCCACCACGUUGAAAGAAGUUUCAGAGCUGUGGUAUUUCAUUCUUUCUCUCUGCUUCU